rnacentral:rRNA from 1 species
UACAGAGGGUGCGAGCGUUGUUCGGAAUUAUUGGGCGUAAAGGGCUCGUAGGCGGUUUGUCGCGUCGGGAGUGAAAACUCAGGGCUUAACCCUGAGCCUGCUUCCGAUACGGGCAGACUAGAGGUAUGCAGGGGAGAACGGAAUUCCUGGUGUAGCGGUGAAAUGCGCAGAUAUCAGGAGGAACACCGGUGGCGAAGGCGGGUCUCUGGGCCGAAACUGACGCUGAGGAGCGAAAGCGUGGGGAGCGAACAGG